UGGGGAAUAUUGGGCAAUGGGCGAAAGCCUGACCCAGCCACGCCGCGUGAGUGAUGAAGGCCUUCGGGUCGUAAAGCUCUGUGGGGAGGGACGAACAAAUCUGGGGCUAAUCACCCGGAUCCUGACGGUACCUCCUUAGCAAGCACCGGCUAACCCUGUGCCAGCAGCCGCGGUAAUACAGGGGGUGCAAACGUUGCUCGGAAUCAUUGGGCGUAAAGCGCACGUAGGCGGUCUGUUAUGUCGGAUGUGAAAGCCCUUGGCUUAACUGAGGAAGUGCAUCCGAAACUGGCAGGCUAGAGUACUAAAGAGGGUCGCGGAAUUCCCGGUGUAGAGGUGAAAUUCGUAGAUAUCGGGAGGAACACCGGUGGCGAAGGCGGCGACCUGGGUAGAUACUGACGCUGAGGUGCGAAAGCGUGGGGAGCGAAACAGGAUUAGAUACCCGUGGUAGUCCACGCCGUAAACGAUGAGUGCUAGAUG
rnacentral:rRNA from 1 species